CCUACGGGAGGCAGCAGUGAGGAAUAUUGGUCAAUGGACGAGAGUCUGAACCAGCCAAGUAGCGUGAAGGAUGACUGCCCUAUGGGUUGUAAACUUCUUUUAUAUGGGAAUAAAACGUUCCACGUGUGGGAUUUUGUAUGUACCAUAUGAAUAAGGAUCGGCUAACUCCGUGCCAGCAGCCGCGGUAAUACGGAGGAUCCGAGCGUUAUCCGGAUUUAUUGGGUUUAAAGGGAGCGUAGGUGGAUUGUUAAGUCAGUUGUGAAAGUUUGCGGCUCAACCGUAAAAUUGCAGUUGAAACUGGCAGUCUUGAGUACAGUAGAGGUGGGCGGAAUUCGUGGUGUAGCGGUGAAAUGCGUAGAUAUCACGAAGAACUCUGAUUGCGAAGGCAGUUCACUGGACUGCAACUGACACUGAGGCUCGAAAGUGUGGGUAUCAAACAGGAUUAGAUACCCCUGUAGUC
rnacentral:rRNA from 1 species